AAAUCCAUCCAACAUUUUGGGUUACAUUAACUCCAACUGGAUCUGAUAUCCCAUCUUUCUCUUAACUAUAUUCGUUGGCUCCCAUGGAGCAUAACUAAGACGGGUGUGGUCAAUUGUACAUACCUCUGUUACAAUUGAAGGUAACUCAAAAUAUUUAUAUUUCUCUGCUUGAAUCGUAAAUAUUGUUAAUCUUCAUUAACUGGGGUACCUCGUACCCUUCUUACCUUGCUACUUUUACUUGUUGAAACUUGUAUCUAUCUUUUGAAUCUCUUAUUCCUUUUUACCAUAAGAAUGGAUAGAUAUUCUUGCCUACCAUGGUGGUGAUGGGUGACGGAGAAUUAGGGUUCGAUUCCGGAGAGGGAGCCUGAGAAACGGCUACCACAUCCAAGGAAGGCAUCAGGCGUACCCAAUCCUGACACGGAGAGGUAGU
rnacentral:ncRNA from 1 species